rnacentral:rRNA from 1 species
UACGAAGGGGGCUAGCGUUGCUCGGAAUCACUGGGCGUAAAGCGCACGUAGGCGGGUUGCCAAGUCGGGGGUGAAAUCCUGGAGCUCAACUCCAGAACUGCCUUCGAUACUGGCGAUCUUGGAGUCCGGGAGAGGUGAGUGGAACUGCGAGUGUAGAGGUGAAAUUCGUAGAUAUUCGCAAGAACACCAGUAGCGAAGGCGGCUCACUGGCCCGGUACUGACGCUGAGGUGCGAAAGCGUGGGGAGCAAACAGG